CACCAGGACCAAAGGGUUCUGCUCGGGGCACCCAAGAGCCAGGAAAGCUGCCUGCAGCUGCUAGUGAAGCUAUACAGGUGUCCAGCCAGACAAACCACCUGCAUCUUUAAUCAGAUUGUGCUGAGAAGGUCAUUCUUGUGUCACACUAACCAGCCACUUCUGUCCCUGUCCUGGAUGAUCUGAAAGAUGAAAUGCUUCUUGACUGAGAAAACAAAACAGCAAUAGUUAUGGGGACAGUCACAGACGCCAUGCAGGUUCUAGAAGUCCCCAAGCGAGUGGGUGCAUUGCAGGUGAGCAGCCAGGCU
rnacentral:lncRNA from 1 species